GACAGAGGGGGCAAGCGUUGCUCGGAAUUACUGGGCGUAAAGGGCGCGUAGGCGGGCUGGCAAGUCGGUCGUGAAAUCCUUCGGCUCAACCGAAGAACGUCGGCCGAUACUGCCGUUCUUGAGGGAUGCAGAGGAGAUUGGAAUUCCCGGUGUAGCGGUGAAAUGUGUAGAGAUCGGGAAGAACACCGGUGGCGAAGGCGGCCUGCUGGGCAGUAGCUGACACUGAGGCGCGACAGCGUGGGGAGCAAACAGG
rnacentral:rRNA from 1 species